AAAGAAACCCUCUUGAGCGUCACUCUAGUCCGACUUUCUAAAAUGACUUGAGAGGUGUGGGAUAAGUGGGAGCCGAAAACAGCCAAAGUGAAAUACCAUUACUUUCAAUGUUUUUUUUACUUAUUUUGUGGAACAAAGGUGGGGCAAUGCCCCUUCUUUUGAAACUAAGGUCCGUGCAUGCAAGUCGAUCCAAGCAGAAGACAUUGUCUGGUGAGAAGUUUGACUGAGACGACACAUCUAUUAAAAGAUAAUGCAGAUGUCCUAAGAUGAACUCAACAAGAAUAGAAAUCUUGUGUAGAACAAAAUGAUAAAAGUUCAUUUGAUUCUAAUUUAUAGUACGAACACAAAUUGUGAAAGCGUAGCCUUAUUUGGAAUUUGAAGUUAGAGGUAUUAGAAAAGUUAUCACAUGGAUAAUUGGCUUGUGGCAAUCAAGCGUUCAUAGUGAUAUUGCUUUUUGAUCAUUUGAUGUCAGCUCUUCUUAUCGUUGUGAAGUAGAAUUCACCUUGUAUUGGAUUGUUCACCCACUGAUAGGUAACGUGAGGUCAAAGUUGAUAUUUUUAC
rnacentral:ncRNA from 1 species